rnacentral:piRNA from 1 species
UAAAAGCCUGUUCAGAUUUCCUUAUAGUC